rnacentral:rRNA from 1 species
CCUACGGGAGGCAGCAGUGGGGAAUCUUGCGCAAUGGGCGAAAGCCUGACGCAGCAACGCCGCGUGCGGGAUGACGGCCUUCGGGUUGUAAACCGCUUUCAGUGGGGACGAACCAAGACGGUACCCACAGAAGAAGCCCCGGCCAACUACGUGCCAGCAGCCGCGGUAACACGUAGGGGGCGAGCGUUGUCCGGAUUUAUUGGGCGUAAAGAGCUCGUAGGCGGUUCGAUAAGUCGGGUGUGAAACCUCCAGGCUCAACCUGGAGACGCCACCCGAUACUGCCGUGACUAGAGUCCAGUAGGGGAGCGUGGAAUUCCUGGUGUAGCGGUGAAAUGCGCAGAUAUCAGGAGGAACACCAGUGGCGAAGGCGGCGCUCUGGGCUGGAACUGACGCUGAGGAGCGAAAGCGUGGGGAGCGAACAGGAUUAGAUACCCUGGUAGUCCACGCCGUAAACGUUGGGUACUAGGUGUGGGGUCUUAUCAACGGAUUCCGUGCCGCAGCUACGACAUUAACGUACCCGUCCGUCGGGUAGGUACGGCCGCGACGGACGUAAACCUACAAACGGAAGUUAGUACGGCGUGAGACGUCGCCGAACGGACGACCGACCGAGGGGAGGUAGG